rnacentral:rRNA from 1 species
AUAAAGUUUAAUUCUAGUUUAAAGAUUUAUUUAAUUUUUUUUUUACAUGUAAAUUUUUGUAGGAUGUUAGUUAGAUUUUAAAAAUUUAAUUAAAAUAAUUUAUUCGCAGUAUUUAAUUUUAAUAAUUUAAGAAAUUAAGAAUUAGAAAUAAAUUUUAAUAUUAACAAAUUUUGUGCCAGCAGUUGCGGUUAUACAAAAGAUAUAAAUGAAUUUUAUUAGUAAAUAAUUAUAUGAAUUAUUAAUAAAUUAAAAUAGUAUUUAUUAGGUGAAAUUUUAAGUAUUAAAUUAAUUUAUAAAAAAGUUUUUAUUAUUAUGAAAUUUAUAUUUAAACUAGGAUUAGAUACCCUAUUAUUUUAAAUGUAAAAAGUUUUACUUAAGUAGUAUUAGUUAUGUUCUUGAAAUUUAAAGAUUUUGGCGGUAUUUUAGUCUAUUUAGAGGAACCUGUUCUGUAAUUGAUAAUCCACGAUUAACUUUACUUAUUUUAUAAAUUUGUAUACCGUCGUUAUUAGAAAAUUUUAGCAGAAAAUAAAUUUUUAAUAUUUUAAAUUAAAAAAUAUAUCAGAUCAAGGUGCAGUAUAUAUCUAAGAAGAAAUGGGUUACAAUAAAUUUAUUUAUACGGAUUAAAGUAAGAAUAAACUUUAUGAAGGUGGAUUUAAUAGUAAUAAAAUUUAAUUAAAUUUUAUGAUUUUAGCUCUAAAAUAUGUACAUAUCGCCCGUCGCUCUUAUUAUAAGGUAAGAUAAGUCGUAACAUAGUAGAUGUACUGGAAAGUGUAUCUAGAAUGAU